rnacentral:rRNA from 1 species
UUCUCCUACGGGACGCAGCAGUGAGGAAUAUUGGUCAAUGGGCGGAAGCCUGAACCAGCCAAGUCGCGUGAGGGACUAAGGCCCUGCGGGUCGUAAACCUCUUUUGCCGGGGAGCAGUGGUCCGGACGCGUCCGGACCGGGAGAGUACCCGGAGAGAAAGCAUCGGCUAACUCCGUGCCAGCAGCCGCGGUAAUACGGAGGAUGCGAGCGUUAUCCGGAUUUAUUGGGUUUAAAGGGUGCGUAGGCGGGCAUUUAAGCCGGCGGUCAAAUUUCGGGGCUCAACCCCGGCCCGCCGU